UACGGAGGGUGCGAGCGUUGUCCGGAAUUACUGGGCGUAAAGCGCGUGCAGGCCGCCUGUUAUGUCGAGUGUGAAAUCCCGCGGCUCAACCGAGGAACUGCGCCCGAAACUGGCAGGCUUGAGUGCGGGAGGGGAUGGUGGAAUUCCCGGUGUAGAGGUGAAAUUCGUAGAUAUCGGGAAGAAUAACGGUGGCGAAGGCGACCAUCUGGCCCGUUACUGCCGCUCAGACGCGAAAGCGUGUGGAGCAACCAGG
rnacentral:rRNA from 1 species